CGCGAACCUGUCAUUUAUAGGCUCGUUAAGGGAGGGUGAGGGCCGGAUUUAGGUUUGAUGAGGCCGUAAGUAAGCUACUGAAGUUGUUAUCCCUGAGAAACGUAGAAAAUAACAGGAUAUCCGAAAGUCUUUAAACUUACAUGACCCUUUAAAAAUUAGCUGAUGAAGGUGAAUACAUCGAAACAGGGCCCUGUCCUGGUUUCUA